UCUGCACAGUCCGAGAAUUCAAGAACGUCCCGGCAGCGCCAACUCCCAACUCCCCGCAAGGCACAAGGCAGUGCACUCCGGAGCACGGACAAACAGGGCCGAUCGAGCGAUGGAGGAGGAGAGGAGAGGAGAGGGGCCCGGAUGAAGAGCUCCCCUGCCAUGGACCCUGAGGCCGCGGUCGCCCGGGGCACCCCGCUGGAGAACACGGAGGGGAGGCGGGGAGAGGGGAAGAAGAGGCUGCCGUGGCGGAUGACCCUGAGCCUGGCGUACCAGAGCCUCGGGGUGGUGUACGGCGACCUGAGCACUAUAGUACAACACCAACAGUCUUGGAUGAAUCGAGAUCAAGUUGAAUGAAUGAAUGAAUGAAUGAAAUGCUAGUUGAGUACUACAGUACGUACUGUAUUUCCGUGUGGGAUGCGUCGGUAGGAAAUGUCUGUCAAUCAGUCAUUCAAUCAAAUGCAGGCUUGUUUUCCACUACUCUGUCGGUGUCAAAUGCAGAUAUCUAGCAGCAGCUACUGCUCGGACAAGGAGUCUGAUUGCUCCCAGGGAAACCGCGGCGAGGAGGCCAACGUCGGAGUCGUCUGCAUCGUGGAAGCUCGGGUCGGCCGCGGACCGGCGAGCAACCCCCAGAACUUGUAUGCAAAGGCCUAAUUCAAUGUGACUGUUUCAGUGGACUGGUUCAGACUUUUGUUUUGUCCAAUGCAAAGAAGAAGGGAGAAGAUCAACGACAAGCUUCGGGUUUUGCACAAGCUGGUGCCCAACGGAACCAAAGUGGAUCUCAGCACUAUGCUCGAGGAGGCAGUCCUCUACGUCAAGUUUUUGAAGCUACAGAUCAAGGUUGUGAUGACCUAUCCGGAUCGGGCCGUAGAGCCGAGCCACUCAGGAGUAGCAGGGUUGCGCGUGGAAAAAGUAUCAUCGCUUCAACACAUCUGCUCACAAUGUGUGCGUUCCUCUGUUGAUGAUAUGUAUAUAAGUGACAAGAAUUCGUUGCCACUGUGUUGUAUGUAUUCCUUUGUCUAGAUGAUUGGGCAGUGGGAGUUGUGCAUAGUAGCAUACAGUAUUUUUCCUUUUCCUAAUCCAUCGCAAGGAGCUUCAUAUUAAGUUUGUUGUUAGCUUCCCCAGGAAAAAAAAGUUUGUUGUUAGCUUCCCCAGGAAAAAAAAGUUUGUUGUUAGCUGUAGCCUGCUUCAAGUGUGUAUAGAUUCAUGUAUCAAGUUUCUUCAGAUGUUCAUAGACUACUGGAUGUAGAUUUCUUACCAAGUGAUCAUCUUGGUAAGCUACCAACAAAAAUUGCAAUCAAGGAUGUAUAUUUCUUAAUACUCAUCAUGUUAUAAUACUCCUAGCUUUGCCACUUUGAAGACAUUUCAUAAAACCGGGCCUUAACCACUUUGGAUGUGGGUUUAUGCCAUUUCUGUUUGGUAGGAGUUUGUUAGCUAUAUGCACUAAAAUUAUGUCAGCUGGCGACGCCUCUGCAUUGUCGUCGACUGAAUUAGGGGAGCAGCAUGCGACGAUUCUAGCGUUAGCAUUGGGCAUGCGCUGGUUCAGACUUAGGAGAGGUUCAGACUGCAGUGCGGUUUAGACUUAGGAGAGGUUCAGACUGCGGUGCUACACAACUGCGUGAACAGCCCUUCUGCAGGUAUGCAAGCUCAUCCUCUUCUCUUAUUUCAUACUGAUGCAUAGGAGAGGUACCAAUCUGGAGAUUGGUUUCUCGAUCAAGGGAAUGACUAGAACAUCUAUUUUGGGAGUGAUGACUUCCAGAUUUACCUUUGUUAUGUUAACUGUAUGGGAUCUUGACCCAAAUUUCCAUAAAUAUACACUUGCUAUGUUAACUGUAUAGUGUUGACCCAAAGUUGGAAACUUUUCUUAGUCGUAUGUUGGAUGGCCAGAUCUAUGAAAACUUGCAGAUUCACCUUUGCUAUUUGGAGUGAAUUUUUUUCUGUAGAAGUUAUAUGGUUUACACUUUAUACCCUUAUUCUCAAAAACAAUUCUCUUGUAAUUGCAGGUGGGGAAUGAACCAGAGUCAGACUUGAUGUUCUGGGAAGAAUUUUGCUAUUUCAUCUCUAAAAAGUCCGAAAGCGCAAUUCAUGAGUUAUCUGACUCGGUUUGGAUAUAGUUUUUGCACAGGUGAAGUACGAAGCCAAGUAUGAAGCUAUGAAGCGUAUGAACAAAGAGUAGCAUAUGUGUUGUAAUAGUAGGCAGUAGUAGGCAUAUCUGGGUUGUGGGGUAGUGUAAAGAUUGUAAUAGACAAAUUUAAUGUUGGUUUGGACGAAUUUUA